GAUGAACGCUGGCGGCGUGCCUAAUACAUGCAAGUCGAGCGAACAGACGAGGAGCUUGCUCCUCUGACGUUAGCGGCGGACGGGUGAGUAACACGUGGAUAACCUACCUAUAAGACUGGGAUAACUUCGGGAAACCGGAGCUAAUACCGGAUAAUAUAUUGAACCGCAUGGUUCAAUAGUGAAAGACGGUUUUGCUGUCACUUAUAGAUGGAUCCGCGCCGCAUUAGCUAGUUGGUAAGGUAACGGCUUACCAAGGCAACGAUGCGUAGCCGACCGGAGAGGGUGGUAGGCCACACUGGAACUGAGACACGGUCAAGACUCCUACGGGAGGCAGCAGUAGGGAAUCUUCCGCAAUGGGCGAAAGCCUGACGGAGCAACGCCGCGUGAGUGAUGAAGGUCUUCGGAUCGUAAAACUCUGUUAUUAGGGAAGAACAAAUGUGUAAGUAACUAUGCACGUCUUGACGGUACCUAAUCAGAAAGCCACGGCUAACUACGUG
rnacentral:rRNA from 1 species